UGGGGAAUUUUGGACAAUGGGCGAAAGCCUGAUCCAGCAAUGCCGCGUGUGUGAAGAAGGCCUUCGGGUUGUAAAGCACUUUUGUCCGGAAAGAAAUCCUUGGCUCUAAUACAGUCGGGGGAUGACGGUACCGGAAGAAUAAGCACCGGCUAACUACGUGCCAGCAGCCGCGGUAAUACGUAGGGUGCAAGCGUUAAUCGGAAUUACUGGGCGUAAAGCGUGCGCAGGCGGUUUGCUAAGACCGAUGUGAAAUCCCCGGGCUCAACCUGGGAACUGCAUUGGUGACUGGCAGGCUAGAGUAUGGCAGAGGGGGGUAGAAUUCCACGUGUAGCAGUGAAAUGCGUAGAGAUGUGGAGGAAUACCGAUGGCGAAGGCAGCCCCCUGGGCCAAUACUGACGCUCAUGCACGAAAGCGUGGGGGAGCAAAACAGGAUUAGAUACCCUGGUGGUCCACGCCCUAAACGAUGUCAACUAGUUGUUGGGGAUUCAUUUCCUUAGUAACGUAGCUAACGCGUGAAGUCGACCGCCUGGGGAGUAC
rnacentral:rRNA from 1 species